UGGGGAAUCUUCGACAAUGGGCGCAAGCCUGAUCUAGCGAUGCCGCGUGAGUGAUGAAGGUCUUAGGAUCGUAAAGCUCUUUCGCCAGGGAUGAUAAUGACAGUACCUGGUAAAGAAACCCCGGCUAACUCCGUGCCAGCAGCCGCGGUAAUACGGAGGGGGUUAGCGUUGUUCGGAAUUACUGGGCGUAAAGCGCGCGUAGGCGGACUAUUAAGUCAGGGGUGAAAUCCCGGGGCUCAACCCCGGAACUGCCUUUGAUACUGGUAGUCUUGAGUUCGAGAGAGGUGAGUGGAAUUCCGAGUGUAGAGGUGAAAUUCGUGGAUAUUCGGAAGAACACCAGUGGCGAAGGCGACUGUCUGGCGCAUUUCUGACGCUGAGGCGCGAAAGCGUGGGGAGCAAACAGGAUUAGAUACCCCCGUAGUCC
rnacentral:rRNA from 1 species